AUAUGUAUAUAUAUAUAACUGAAAUUAUUUUGCUGUACACCUGAAACUUACACAUGUAAAUAAACUAUACGCCAAUAAAAUUAAAAUUUUAAAAAAGGGAGAAAGUAAAAUCAAUCAAUUCAUCAAUCAGCCUUGGGGUCUUGUGUUUUUUGCUUCACACCAUCAUUCAUCCCUUCCUUCUAUGCCCCUGUCGUCUACAGGUCACAGCCCAGUUUACCCUAAGUACUUCCACCUUCAAAACACACAGCUCUGUCCAUGCCAUGCUCCUGCUAACAUCCUUCAAAGAGUCAACCUCUGCGUUCAGAGCUGAAUUUCCUUGCUUCUUGGCUCUUAAUCAAGGCAGGCAGGCUCUGACUUAACUUUUUAAGCACAUGAGUUCAGCAAGUCACUGCCUCUCCAGCCGGACUGGUUUCCUCAUGGUCCUCUGCCAGCCUUGCCCAUCUGUGCCUUUGUCCAAGCUGCUGCUUCCCCACCAAGGAUGGCUUCUCCAUCUUCUGUCUUUAAUCAGACUCUACCUGUGCCUGACGCAUUUCCUCCAAGAAACAGCCUGAGGGAGCAUGAGAUUAAGACAGGCCUGGGUUCCAAUCCCAGCUCUUCCACUUGGUAGCUGUGUGAAUUUGAUCAAAUUGUUUAUCGUCUCCGAGCUUCAGUUUCCACAUCUUGAUUAUAACAUGACUAGUAAUUGAUCCUCCAUGCUACCUGUAAGUCUCUAUCACGACCUUUACCAUACAGGUUUUAUCUCUCAUCCCUUUCCAGUAUUACCUAAUAGAACUUUCUUCAGGAAUGGAAAUGUAACCCUUGGUGGCUGCGGAGUGCAUGAAAUGUGGCUGGUGUGACUGAAGAACUGAAUUUUUCAUUUUAGUUAAUUCUAAUAGCCAACAUAUGGCUAGUGGCUACCAUACUGGAUAAUGCAUGUAAACUGUAAGCGCAAUGGGGGCAGAGACCAUCUUGGCUGACGUUCUAUCCCCAGCAAUGAGCACAUUGCCCGACACAUGGCAGGAAGCACAGUUCCUGCCUGUUAUCCACACUCUGUUGUACUCCAGUCUAGAUGGCUGACGCUUCUUUUCUGUAUCAGCACCCUGUCCCCACCACUGGGCUGGCAGCAUCCUGGGGCAAGGUCUGUUACACACUUGUCUGCAUGUCCCUCGGCUCAGAGCUCGCACGGAUCCACGUUUAGCAGUUGCUUCUAACUUCAUCGUAGCUGCUGUCUAGCCUGAUUGCAAUCAAGUGAGAGUGGGAUAUAAACCACACAGUGAAAUGCCACUGAGGAGCAGCAUGAGAGCUGGAAGGGAGAGAAUCUGAGACAGAGGCCCGCAGGGCACCAGCGUUUGAAAGAUGGGAAGAGAGAAAAGAGCAGGAGAGAGCCGGGAAGAAGCAGGACAACUUCGAUGCACGGCCUCUCAACAUCCCAGGGCAGAAACCACUGCAAAGGGAGUUGUGAAAAUGCACAGCAUCACACUAUUCUCGAGGCCACAAGAUGGAGACAUUUCUCUUUGAGAGCCGGGGAGUCACAACUGCUGAUCCCGCGUGCUUCGACUACUGAAGCCAGGGCCCUAGAGCCUGUGCUCCACAACAAGAGAAGGCACUGCAGUGAGAAACGUGAGCACCGAAACUAGAGAAGAGUCCCAGGCAGCAACGAAGACCCAGCACAGCCAAAAAUAAAAUAAAUAAAUAAUUUUUUUUAAAAGAAAUUACUUCAUAUUUCUGCUUUAAACCUUUGAUUGUUUCAAAUGAGACAUUUUGCACAGAACUGAUGUUUAAUAACUACAGGACACUCCUGAAACAAAACCUUCAGAGGCAAGGUAUUAUACCACAGAGGAUGUGAAAGGCUGGACACUGCACUCACGCCGGGGAAAACAGGAGCUGUGGCUUUAAGGGCAAAGGGUAGAGCGAGGCUUGGCAGGGUGAAGGGAAUCUGAUUGUGGAAAUGGCAGCCUUGGAGGAAUUACAAGAUCAGGGAAUAGGGAAACAUCAUUCAUUUUCCACUUCUGCUCCUAGAAGAAAAAUGAUCAGACACCUGAACAGGGAUUCAGGAAAGGCAGAGAGAGGGAACACCAUUCAGCAGAAAAGAGAAGAAAACAAACAAAAAACACCCCAAACCAUAAUCAGCCUAUGAAUAUAAAAUAAAAGAAGGUGUGAUGUAGACACACAGAAGACAGGGUGUUUGUGUUGGGGGUUUCAGGAAUGGUAGGUUAGGGCAGAUCUGAGGAGAAAAAGAAGCAAUCCAGCCCCACAGGGAAAUGUUUGUGAUGAGAGGAGAUGGGUAACAGCUUGGUUUGCCUGACAUGCAGUCCAGACUGAACUUGGUCAAACUAGGAAGACAGGGCACAGAGAGAACCCACUAGCUCAGGAGCAGAUGUAGAAAAGAGGGUGGGCACAGGAGAGCUCUUUGCAAAAGCCCGAGGGUCCUGUUAAGCCAAGUUAAACCUAGCUCUGUGAUUAAUCAGUGGGAUUGAGCAUUUCUGUGCUGUGCAAAAAUUGUGUCAUGAGGUCUCCUCCCACUGGCAUGAAAGUUAGACUGCCCCUCGGUGGCAACCCCCGGAGGGAGACUGACUGUAAUGGCUGAGGGCUGGCAGGGCUGACUCUGCUGUGAAUUCCUGGAUGCCAGAUCGAGUGCCCCUUUUCAACCCCUCCCAUGGUUGAUCUCUAGACAAACAUUAGUUAGACGCUGUUAAUCCCUUCAUCCUACUUGAAUCAAUCCCCUCCCUUUUCAUAACAAAGCCCUUCUAGAAUUUCCUUUCAACUUUCCAAAUCAAGCUUCUCUCUUCCUUUCUGUCUCUCUCUCUUCCUUUCUUUCUUUCUCUCUUCCUUCCUUCCUUUCUUUUUCACCAAGAAAUUCAGUUCAUCAAAUGUUCAGUGAUUGCUUACUGUGUGUUAGACUCUACACAAGAGGUGAGAGUAAAAGAAGAAUAAGGACAGAGCCCUGUUCCCCGCUUUCAAGGAGCUCAGGUUCAAAACGGCCAAGAGUGUAAUUCAAUAUGGUGAGCACAGCAAUUAAAGGAUGCACGUGGUCAAAAGAUGGCACAGAAGGACAAAUAGCAAGGAGUGUGCUUAUAGGCAGCGGAAGAUUGGUGUCUGAGUCCAGCAGCAUGAAUUCUGUCCAGGGGACAAUAUAUGGAAAGACAUGUGUGUCUAGGAACUGCAAGAAGUCAGAAUGUUGCUAAACAUGGAGAAGAAGGCCCAGGCGGUGGUCAGGGAAGGGGCUGAAGACAGAGGCAGGGUCUUGGAUGCCAAAUCAAGGAAUUUGGGCUUUAUUCUAUAUAUGCCAGGUGUGGGGAGAAAAAUGAGUUCAAUUUUGAACUGCUGAGUUUAAGGUUCCUAUGAAAUGUUCAGAUAGGGAUGUUCAGUUGCCAAGUGAGUGUAGGGAGCUGGGCGAUAGAAUUUUGAGUCAUCAGUAUAAAAUGGGUGACUAAUCCCUAGGAGUGGGGCGAUCACACAGGGAGAGGUGAUAUAUGGUGUUUCUCAAAAUGAGGUCUUUGAGUCACCUGCUUCAAAACUCCAGAGGGGUUUUCUAAAGAUGCAGAUUCCUCGGGGGAGGGGGGGGCGGGGAACCCCAAGCCUACUGACUCA